CAGUCGUUCUCCUUUCUUACACCACGCCCUAAAACCCUACCACACCUAAAUCCCAAGCUUCUCUUGGAGUUGCCUCUCUGCUCCUCUUCCUUUGCUUCAAAAAAAUGUCAUCUUCAACGUCUCCUUCCUUUUCCCAUUAACAAUCUUUUCAUACUGCGCUGUGCAAUCUCCACAAAAUAAAUACAGACUUCACUAUCUAUCUUUAGCUUAAGCCAUGUCCGCCCUAUCGAGAGGCCUCAUUUCUGGCUUCCACCAGCUUCUUUCACUCAGUACUAAAACGACAUCGCCAACAGCAACACCAGCACCAUUCUACUUGCUUAGGAGGUUUAGCACCGACUCUUUAAUCGAUGGAUUCGAGAUCCAAAACCAAGGGGCUCGGAUCAUUGAAGCAAAGCCCGGCAUCAUGACCCCUAAUUCUAAGCGAACUGGAGUUAUUGCUCUCAAGUGUGGAAUGACUGCUCUUUGGGAUAAAUGGGGCCAGAGGGUUCCCAUCACUGUGCUUCGGGUAGACGAUAACAUCGUUACUCAGGUCAAGACUGUUGAGAAGGAAGGCCAUUUUGCCUUACAGAUUGGUUAUGGGUCGAAGAAGGCAAAACAUUUGACAAAGCCUGAAAUGGGUCAUUUCAGAGCUCAUGGUGUUCCAUUGAAGAGGAAAUUGAGGGAGUUCCCUGUGACAGAAGAUGCACUUCUCCCUCUUGGUACUUCCAUUGGCGUUCGCCAUUUUGUUCCUGGUCAAUUCGUUGAUGUCACGGGAAUUACCAGAGGAAAAGGGUUUCAGGGUGGAAUGAAAAGACAUGGUUUUAAAGGAAUGCCAGCAAGUCAUGGUGCAUCAUUGUCACAUCGAAGUAUUGGUUCUACUGGUCAAAGGGAUGCUCCUGGUAAGGUAUUUAAAGGCAAAAAGAUGCCUGGGCGCAUGGGUGGGAAUCAGGUAACAGUUAAAAAUGUAUGGGUCUACAAAAUACAUCCGGCAAGGAACUUGAUGUGGGUGAGAGGCCAGGUGUGGUUUCUGUUCCUGUAUACAUGCUUAAAAUUUGAAUGGAUCUGAGGAGGCAAUCUCUGUAAAAUAUUGUAACCUUCAAUUUUUACAGGUUCCUGGUGCUGAAGGAAACUUUGUGUUUAUAAAAGAUGCUGUUUAUAAGAAGCCUGAUAUUUCAUCACUUCCAUUCCCUACCUACCUUGCAGCAGAAGAUGAGGAUAUAUCAGAACCUAUAAUUGCUGAACUUGGAGAUAUAGAUCCAUUUAUGGCUGCGGAUUAAUUGAUUAGGCUUAAUUGCAUUGCAAUCGUUACUUUUUACAUUGAAUACAGGUGGCAUGACAGGGUGUCUUCUGAGCAAUAUGUUGAGGCUUUCAAUCCAGUUAAUUUUGUUGGAGGGGCAUGUAAUUUUUUUUAUUUGCAUUUAAAAAGAGGAGGUUAAAAUGGCCAACCAUGAUUUGAUGUGGGAACAGAGUCUCAAAUAAAUAUGGAUCUUGGGUAUCUGGGCCGUUGGUUAGCUUCUCUUAAAAAAUUGUUAUCAAUUUACUGUCUGGGGCUCUUGCAUAUGAAGGUGUCAAUGCAUUCAAUUUGCUUCCUGGUGUUGUCAUGCAUCCAGUGUAAUCGUUUCUAGGUUUGAUGUUGUUCAUUGAAGUAAUUUGGCAGUGACCAUCCAUCCUAACAUAGAAGCUCGGUGCAUCCCAGUGUCUGAUAAACUUGUUUUGGCUUGUGUUCACAGCUCCAGAGCCACGCGAACAAAAUGACAAAAAUUCGUAUUAAUUUUCUUCAGAAAACAUUUUUCUUUGUCAUUCUCAUCAAAGUUCAGUUCAACACGUGCAGAACCUUAUUUUCGUUGAGAGCGGAUAAUAAAUAAAUGACUAAAGAAUGAAUAAUAAUUGAG
rnacentral:misc_RNA from 1 species